CCGCCUACGGGGCGCAGCAGUCGGGAAUAUUGCGCAAUGGAGGAAACUCUGACGCAGUGACGCCGCGUAUAGGAAGAAGGUUUUCGGAUUGUAAACUAUUGUCGUUAGGGAAGAUAAAAGACAGUACCUAAGGAGGAAGCUCCGGCUAACUAUGUGCCAGCAGCCGCGGUAAUACAUAGGGAGCAAGCGUUAUCCGGAAUUAUUGGGUGUAAAGGGUGCGUAGACGGAGGAACAAGUUAGUUGUGAAAUCCCUCGGCUUAACUGAGGAACUGCAACUAAAACUAUUCCCCUUGAGUGUCGGAGAG
rnacentral:rRNA from 1 species